rnacentral:lncRNA from 1 species
UUCUGUAUAGCAGCGACAGAGGAAAGACCAAAAUACCGGCAAUGCCUUGUUAUGCUCUCUUUGGGGACCCACAAGGACAAAGGGACGUUCUCACCCAGAGAAGGAAAUUUGGAAUUUAAGGAAGGCUGCAUUUCCUCCUAGGAAGCGCUUAGGGGCUUCAAUGGACCCUGACCAUUCGGGAGACUUACUGGAGUGACCAAAUAAGCACUGACAGCCCGCUGCCCAAUGUCAUACUGUGACAGCUAAUGUUUCAUCAAGCAAACAGCGUGGGAGCGCUUUAGGCUGUGUUCUCGCGACCUGAAAACAUCCACCGUGGUUGGCUUGAUAGCCUGUCUUUCGCACACAUGAUAAAUGUUAUCUCAGCUUUGCGUGACCACAACAGGGGAGGGCAAAGAAGUAAUGCUUUUCCAAAACAGAAGUCUGUUUCACACGCACACCCCCUACCCCCCAUCAGAGCGCUCCCUUUGCCCGCAGCGGAAGUUAAUGUUAUCAUGUCAGACAUUUGAUAUGAACACAAUGAUUUCAAAAUGUAGAGACACCGCUGAUGCACUUGGGGGCGAUUGCCGGCAGGGCAAACAAGUGACUCAUCAGAGGAGGAAAAUCGUCCGCUCGAAAACCGACUGUGGUACCCACGUGAGGAUCUGGCUUGCUAGGCUCCAGUGCCGCCUUCUGACAAACGGAGGGACUCCCUCGGCCAAGAGAUUCACAAAGCAGCGUUUUUGUGAAUGAACAAACGCAUCUUGUCAGCCCGUGCCAGCAGAAAUGUUAAGGAGCAAAACCAAAGUUUGAUUUUUGUAAGCAGGGUAUACUAUCGCCGCGGCCCACGUGGCACACACACAGGCAGCCAGGGUUCUUCUGCUCCCUGAGCCGUGGAGAUGAGAAGGGUGGGCUGCCCCACACAUGUGAGCACUCGGGGGAGCUCGCCUUUCUCAUCCUGAGGGCCCCACCUUUUUCAGAAGGGUUCACAGAAUUGCCCAAGGGCCCGGUCAGCGACUCUUGGCCAGUGGACAGUUAUCUGGGCCUGGACGUGUUGGAAGAACGCAGGUGGAAAAGGACUUGUCAGCAGCAUGAAGCCCUCUCUAUCUGCUGUCUAAAGCCCUUCAGUGAAGAGCCCAGUGUCACGGGGCGACUGUCGAACUGCGUGGACAUCUGGGGGGUUGACAUAAGUUGUGAGUAUCCCAGCCACGACGCCGUGGGAUGGUUUUCAGUUGUGUGGGUAUGAAGUCGCUGGGUUUGGAAUUUGUCACUGAAAUCAGGCAAGUCACAGUAUGACUGCGUGGUAGGGUCACCUCCUAGGCUUUUUCUUUCUUACAUCCAACACAUCUGGUAUGUCUUACUUAGGACGUUGUACUAUGUCCAUUAAAAUGAUUCCAUAAGGCAAGCCACCCAGAUGCAUUUACUAGCUGAAAAGCACUUUUUUAAAUAGACAAGGAUGAAUUUAAUAUGGGCCGAUGUGACCGUCUGGGGAAUCUUUUUAUAGCGAGCUUACAUUACUGUAUGUGGGGAAAUUUUUGUCUUCUACUCCCAUUCAACAAUAGCAAACGUGGUUUUAUAAGAUGAACAUUAUCGUGUUAGCUGCCUGUGAAAAAAUAAAGACUUGGCGUUAUCAGCA